CUUCAGGGCAGGGUGCAAUUCCCGAUCGGCGGUAAAGUCCGCGAGCGUGAACACGCAGGAUUUGGUGAAAUUCCAAAACCGACAGUAUAGUCUGGAUGAAAGAAGU
rnacentral:ncRNA from 1 species